rnacentral:rRNA from 1 species
ACAGCAGUAGCCGCGGUAACACGUAGGAGGCAAGCGUUGUCCGGAAUUAUUGGGCGUAAAGGGCUCGCAGGCGGUUUCUUAAGUCUGAUGUGAAAGCCCCCGGCUCAACCGGGGAGGGUCAUUGGAAACUGGGAAACUUGAGUGCAGAAGAGGAGGGUGGAAUUCCACGUGUAGCGGUGAAAUGCGAAGAGAUGUGGAGGAACACCAGUGGCGAAGGCGACUCCCUGGUCUGUAACUGACGCUGAGGAGCGAAAGCGUGGGGAGCGAACAGGAUUAGAUACCCCUGUAGUCCCUGUCUCUUAUAC